rnacentral:misc_RNA from 1 species
UCCGGCUUAUCACCGGCAGUUUUCUCAGAGUUCUCGCCAUUACGCGUUAGCAACAGAGAAUGAGGGUUGCGCUCGUUGCGGGACUUAACCCAACAUCUCACGACACGAGCUGACGACAGCCAUGCAGCACCUGUGCUCCUCCCACCCGAGGUGAAGGCCCCUUUUGGGGGGCCGAUAGAGGGCAAGUCAAGUCCUGGUAAGGUUCUUCGCGUUGCCUCGAAUUAAACCACAUGUUCCACCGCUUGUGCGGGUCCCCGUCAAUUUCUUUGAGUUUUAAUCUUGCGACCGUACUCCCCAGGCGGGAUGUUUAACGCGUUAGCUACGCCACUGAGAACUAAGUUCCCAACGGCUAACAUCCAUCGUUUACAGCGUGGACUAC